rnacentral:lncRNA from 1 species
AAAAGUUGUCCUGUUGAGACUCAUCACUUCUCAUGGAUUUGCACAAAACAUUUCAACUUUCUUAAGACAAGACGAACCUUUGGCUAAGUAGGAAAAAAAAUGCACAGAAUGAGCAACCAGAUUUCUUCCCCCAAAGUAAGGAGACCUAACAAUAAAGGGGGGUGAAACUAAAAUAUUUAGAUUCAAACACAUAUCCAGUUCCCUGUUCUUCUAUAAGGAGACAUCGUUUUCCUCACAAAUGUCAGUGAUUUAAACUUUUGCUUUAACUAUAAUAAUAUUUUAUUUGCUUGCUGUAUUAAUUUGUGCCUCAACCAAGGAAAAAGGGAAACAGAGGUAAGUCUCCUUUUGUGCUGAAAUACUAGAGAGACAAAUAUGACCUACUACCCUAUAUGAGUGUUUUGUCAUUUACAGGCAAUACUAACUAUAUAUUCCACUUCCCUUUUCCAACUAUGAAAGAAACCCUCUACCAGAAUAGUUUGAUCAAUUUUAGUGAGGUAAAUGAGGUACAACUGCUAAUCUUUAAACACUAUGCAUUCUUCAAAGUGACAACAGCAGUUUGUAUUUCUAUGGACUUUGUUUCAACAGAAUGGUGCCUUUCCUUCUGCAAAUGAAAAACAUGAUUCUGAACAUCUCUGUGAGGAAGGCAGGUCUGAUCUCCCUGGCAUGAAGGAUAGGCCUUACAAUAGAAGAGGGUGUCCUUACAGAGAGAGAUGGUCCUUACAAUGGAAGAAGGUGUCAAAGAAAAGUGUGGCAACAUGGUUUGCUUGCAGAUUCCACAACCUAUUAACAAAAAAUUGACCACAGUUUUUCUCUCCAUCAAACACAUUUUGAAAUAUUUAUUAUCUAGUCAGAUGAAGCAGGAAAGAAAUUCCAGCCUAAAAAUAAAUAAAUUACUAUCACCCAUGAUGGUAACAUAAGCACAAAAUAAGGGUUGUUUUUUUCCUUUUUCUUUUUCUUUCUUGUAUCUCUGCUGUACACUGGAAACCACUUCAGUAUACAUAGAAUGAUUAAGCCCUAACAAAGCAUUCAGGAAAAGAAGGGCCUAAGAGAUUAUGAACCAGAGAGUGCUGUAGCUAGCUCGCCAAUGACCUUCUCCCCCCAUGGUGCGUUAAAAUUUACAAAGCAGAUUUACAUAUAUUACUUUAUUUCAUGUCUUCCGUAACUCCAAGUUACCCCAAUUAUUCCUAUUUUACAGGCAAAUAGAUCAAGGCCUAGAUCGGAUAAUUGACUGGACUGAGGUCACAUAGUUGAGAAGUAGUCAAGACUUGAGCUAGUAUCACCUGAGCCCGAGGUUAGGCUCCUUCCACCUCACUGUGGUUGCCUUGCAACAAGCAGUGUCCAGGUUAGCCAAAUCCAUCAUGACACAGAGUUAGUCCAAAUAAU